rnacentral:rRNA from 1 species
UACGUAGGGUGCAAGCGUUAAUCGGAAUUACUGGGCGUAAAGCGUGCGCAGGCGGUUGUGCAAGACCGAUGUGAAAUCCCCGGGCUUAACCUGGGAAUGGCAUUGGUGACUGCACGGCUAGAGUGUGUCAGAGGGGGGUAGAAUUCCACGUGUAGCAGUGAAAUGCGUAGAGAUGUGGAGGAACACCGAUGGCGAAGGCAGCCUCCUGGGCCAGCACUGACGCUCAUGCACGAAAGCGUGGGGAGCAAACAGG